rnacentral:lncRNA from 10 species
CCGCGCCCGGGUGCCGCUUGCCGCACCCCCGAGCCUGAGCCCGUCUACCUCGUGGCUGCCUGAGGCCCGGGGUGGUUAUGAAGAUAAAAUGCAAUAAAUGUGUGUGAGGGCAACUGACGAGCCAGGAAGCCUUGGCAUCCAGAGUUAUUACUGGGACGUCAUGGGAAAUGAGGAUAUGGGAACAGAGUAUUUAUGCAUUUAUUCAAACUCAUCUCUAACAACCGUGCUUUGAAGGCUGGCUGCAUCCCAGGCCCUACAGGUGAACCGUGACUCUCAGCUCUCAGCUUCAGCCCCUGCUGUAGUGGCGGCAGCAGCAGAGGCUCACGUAGCCUCAAGCAGUAGGGGUUUUGUUUAAGGAUUCGGGUGCCCCAUGGUUUGGGGGUUUUGUUUUUAUUUUGCUGCAUGAUUUGGAUUCAAGAAGAAGGAUCUGUAGGACAGUGGGCUCCCGGGUCUGCCUUUGCCCUCAUAGCCUGCAGCAGAGCAGGACGUUCGCUUUCCCUUCUCCGCCUGUGUGUUCUUCCUGCACUGCCUAACUGCUGCUUGCUCAUUUGUGCUUCCGUGUCACCCCUCCUCAGCCCUCUGAACUCUGCACGUCAGGACUUGGCACACUUCCUAACUGCUGCUUACUCAUUUGUACUUCCGCGUCACCCCUCCUCAGCCCUCUGAACUCUGCGCUUGGACUUGGUGUGACUUCCCUUCCCCGCCUAUUCUCUAGAGGCAGUCUCUUGGUGACUCCUGGUUUGGGUCAGGGCACGCCUUAGGUCUCUGGAUGGCUACCAACCCCAGGUUCCCUCAGCUCUAGCCCCAUAAGAGAGGAGGCCUCAGGAGCGCCUAGGGCAGCCCUUUCAGCCUGGGCUGUGGGAAGGGAAGGUGGACAGAGAGGAGACCCCAUGCCUUUGUUCCCUGUUGAUGCAGAAGCAUUCUAGGCUCUGUCCCUUAUUCCUGCUGUGGGCUGAAGCUUCAGGCAAGGUGCUCUACAAACUUCAGUUGCCUCAUCUAUCAAACAGUAACGUUUAACAUUCCAGAGACAGAAGUUGAUCUUUGGGACUUUUUUUGAUUUUAAGAUCUAGGCUGGCUGGGGCGGUGGCUCAUGCCUGUAAUCCCAGCACUUUGAGAGGCCGAGACCGGUGGAUCACGAGAUCAUCAGGAGAUGAGACCAUCCUGGCUAACAUGGUAAAACCCAGUCUCUACUAAAAAUAGAAAAAAUUAGCCGGGCACGGUGGCAGGUGCCUGUAAUCCCAGCUACUUGGGAGGCUGAGGCAGGAGAAUCGAUUGAAUCUGGGAGGCAGAGACUCCAUCUGAAAAAAAAAAAAAAAGAUCUAGGCUUCUGGCUGGGUGCUAUGUCCCACGCCUGUAAUCCCAGCACUUUGGGAGGGCAAGGCAGGUGGAUCACUUGAGGUCAGGAGUUCAAGACCAGCCUAGCCAACACGGCGAAACUCUCUUUCUACUAAAAAUACAAAAAAAUUAGCCAGGCACGGUGGCAACAUGCCUGUAGUUCCAGCUACUCGAGAGGCUGAGGCAUGAGAAUCGCUUGAACCUGGGAGGUGGAGGCUGCAGUGAGUUAAGAUCUUGCCACUGCACUCCAGCCUCAGUGAUGAGUGAGACCCUGUCUUUUUUUUUAUGAGACAAGGUCUCACUCUGUUGCCCAGGCUGAAGUACAGUGGUGCGAUCUCAGCUCACUGCAGCCUCUGCCUCCCAGCUUCAAGCGAUUCUCCUGCCUUAGCCUCUCGAGUAGCUGGGAUGACAGGCAUGAGCCAUCGCGCCAGGCCAAGACUGUCUCAAAAAAAAAAAAAAAAAAAUCUAGGCUUCCUUAUUAAUAUCUGAACAAAUAAUUACAUAUUUGCUUCUUUCCAAAUUUGGCAGCAACUAAACUUAAAAAUUUUUUUAAGUACAUUUGCUUUUGCAGUUAGCCUGGCCUCCAGAGCUCUUGGACUGCAGCACCCAUAAUGAUGGCCAAAGCCGCCCCCACGGCGACUCCUCCUGCUGAAGCAAAGUCAGGCAGAACAAUAAGAUGAGCAUGGUGGUGCAGGCCUGUAAUCUCAGCUCCUCAGGCGGGAGGAUCACUUGAUCCCCGGAAGUUUGAAGCUGGACUGCGCUGACCGCACCUGUGAAUACCACUGCCCGUCAAUCAGCCUAGGGGAAACAUUCUCGAGUGCGAGCAUGACGGCUUAGGUUGAUGUUUUUCAAAUUUUCCCAAUGAUGAGUAUUGUAAGGGACCAAAAUAAAAAAAUGCCAAUGCCUAGUCCCCUCUCAUCUAGAAUAAUUCCAUAGGUGAUGAUGGGGUCCAGGACUCUGAAUUUCGUCAAUUUUACCAAAUACUUCGUCCAGUGAGGCAAAUAUGGAAACACUUGGAUCACCUCUUCGUGAACGCACAUCAGCGCAUACGCCGGCUGUUUUUAUCAGGCGCUCACCCCUCAUCCAAUGGCGUGACUAGUUGUGGGUGGAGCCCGAAAUCUGGCUGCCUAGAGAAGGCUGAAGGUCCAGUUAUAGCAUAACUAAUGUUUCCCCAGAGCUCACAUACGUGCCAAGCACCGUGCUACAGCCUCCACAGCCCCUUCAUUUAAUCUUCCCGAUGGGCCUAUGAAAUAGGUGCUCCUGGCCCGCACCGUGGCUCAUGCCUCUAAUCCCAGCACUUUGGGAAGCUGAGGAGGGAGGGUCGCUUGAGUCCAGGAUUUCAAGACCAGCCUGGGAAACACACAGAGAGCCUAUCUCUACGAAAAUUUAAAAAAUUAGCCGGGUGUGGUGAUGCCUGACUGUGGUCCCACCUACUUAGUAGGCUAAGGUGGGAGGAUCCUCUGAGCCCGGGAAGCUGAGGCUGCAGUUAGCACUGCACUCCAGCAUGGGCGACAGAGUGAGACCCUGACUCAAAAAAAAAAAAAAAAAAGAAUAGGUGCUACUUGUAGUUCCCAUUUUACCCACCAAGAAACUGAAGAUCUGAGAGACAAAGCCUACAGGGUGACCGCUAGUCACUGGUAGGGCUGGGAUUUGAACAGGGGCGGUUUAACAACUGAUCUCUCGACCAUAAUGCGUGUUGCCCAAGAAAAAAGACCGUCCUCACGGUCCUAUCCACUCCGGACUUUGCAAUUCCGUUAUUUCGUAAAUUGAGGCCUAUAAAUAGUUUGCUUACCCGUUGUCUUAGUCCCCAGUAACAUGCAGAACUAAAGAAGAAACUGAAGGAGCACCGAUUUUGUUCACCUUGCUUUUUGGUUUAGUUCUGGAGGAGAACACAGGUGCACUUAGAACAGGAUCCACACUUACCAGAGGCUUGAUUCAUUUUAGCUGCAAAGAAAACCAGUCCUCGUCUAC